rnacentral:rRNA from 1 species
CCCGCUGAACUUAAGCAUAUCAAUAAGCGGAGGAAAAGAAACUAACAAGGAUUCCCUUAGUAACUGCGAGUGAAGAGGGAAAAGCUCAAAUUUAAAAUCUGGCAGUUAUUUGCUGGCCCAAUUGGAAAUGGGAGAAGUGGUAUCUGCGCUGGGCUGCGCGUAAGUCUCUUGUAAAAGAGCGUCACAUAGAGUGACAAUCUCGUCUCUGGGACACACUACCACGGCGCUUGUGAUGCGCUCUCUACGAGACGAGAUGUGUGUGAAUGCACCUCCCAAUGUGUGGGAAAUUCCAUCUCAAGCUAUAUAUAGUGGAGAGACAGAUAGUGCACAAGUACCGCGAGAGAAAGAUAAAAAGAACUUUGUAAAGAGAGAUAUACACUACACGAGAUUGUGGAGAGGGAAACGCUCGAGGUCAGACAUGUGUCAAUGAAAUCAACCUGUCACUUGUGUGGUGUACACUCUGUGGGACAUGUCACCAUCUCUUCUGAGAGCUGUGAAUAGGGCUUGUGAAUGUGACAUCUCUUCUAAGAUGUGUUAUAGCCCUCGGACCACAUAGCAGUGAUUGGGACUGAGGAACUCGAUGUGUGAAAUAACACAUUCAAGGAUGCUGGCAUAAUGGCUUUAAUCGACCCGUCUUGAAACACGG